rnacentral:rRNA from 1 species
AAAGGAGCGAUCCGGUGACGGAUGGGCAUGCGCCGCAUUAGUUAGUUGGCGGUGUAACGGACCACCAAGACGACGAUGCGUAGGGGUUCUGAGAGGAAGGUCCCCCACACUGGUACUGAGACACGGACCAGACUCCUACGGGAGGCAGCAGUGAGGAAUAUUGGUCAAUGGGCGAGAGCCUGAACCAGCCAAGUCGCGUGAGGGAAGACGGUCCUAUGGAUUGUAAACCUCUUUUGCCGGGGAGCAAAAAGCGGUACGUGUACCGCAUCGAGAGUACCCGGAGAAAAAGCAUCGGCUAACUCCGUGCCAGCAGCCGCGGUAAUACGGAGGAUGCGAGCGUUAUCCGGAUUUAUUGGGUUUAAAGGGUGCGCAGGCGGCGAGUUAAGUCAGCGGUAAAAUUUCGGGGCUCAACCCCGACAAGCCGUUGAAACUGGCUUGCUAGAGUGGGCGAGAAGUAUGCGGAAUGCGUGGUGUAGCGGUGAAAUGCAUAGAUAUCACGCAGAACUCCGAUUGCGAAGGCAGCAUACCGGCGCCCAACUGACGCUCAGGCACGAAAGCGUGGGUAUCGAACAGGAUUAGAUACCCUGGUAGUCCACGCAGUAAACGAUGAGCACUAAUUGUCCGGUCCGAAUGAGGGCUGG